AUUGAACGCUGGCGGCAGGCUUAACACAUGCAAGUCGAGCGGGGUGAUGGUGCUUGCACUAUCACUUAGCGGCGGACGGGUGAGUAAUGCUUAGGAAUCUGCCUAUUAGUGGGGGACAGCAUCUCGAAAGGGAUGCUAAUACCGCAUACGUCCUACGGGAGAAAGCAGGGGAUCACUUGUGACCUUGCGCUAAUAGAUGAGCCUAAGUCGGAUUAGCUAGUUGGUGGGGGAAAGGCCUACCAAGGCGACGAUCUGUAGCGGGUCUGAGAGGAUGGUCCGCCACACUGGGACUGGGACACGGCCCAGACUCCUACGGGAGGCAGCAGUGGGGAAUAUUGGACAAUGGGGGGAACCCUGAUCCAGCCAUGCCGCGUGUGUGAAGAAGGCCUUAUGGUUGUAAAGCACUUUAAGCGAGGAGGAGGCUCUUUUGGUUAAUACCCAAGAUGAGUGGACGUUACUCGCAGAAUAAGCACCGGCUAACUCUGUGCCAGCCGCCGCCGUAA
rnacentral:rRNA from 1 species